CAGCAGCCACGGGAAUACGUAGGGUGCAAGCGUUAAUCGGAAUUACUGGGCGUAAAGCGUGCGCAGGCGGUUAUAUAAGUCAGAUGUGAAAUCCCCGGGCUCAACCUGGGAACUGCAUUUGAGACUGUAUGGCUAGAGUGUGUCAGAGGGGGGUAGAAUUCCACGUGUAGCAGUGAAAUGCGUAGAUAUGUGGAGGAAUACCGAUGGCGAAGGCAGCCCCCUGGGAUAACACUGACGCUCAUGCACGAAAGCGUGGGGAGCAAACAGGAUUAGAUACCCCUGUAGUCCCUGUCUCUUAUAA
rnacentral:rRNA from 1 species